GCAAAAUUCCGCCACGAGGAACCUGUGACUUAAUGCGUCAUACAAUGUUUACAAUUUUAAUUGUUUAACUCGUUGUAUUUACAUUAGUAUUUCCCUAAAUCUUGAAUGCGCAAUUUGAAAAACGUGACAAGGAUUUGGUUUUAACUAGGCCUCGACAAAAGCUCUCAUGGAUUCAACCAGAACGACUCUCGAAGUGUCAAAGGAGCAGAAGCAUUUGCUAACAAAACAAUCGAAUUAUCAAGGCAUAACGUUGACAUUUGGCUGGAGAAACUUUCGACCAGCAUACCUAAAGUUUUUGACCAGUCCAAAAUGGUUUAUUGUGAUUAUAAUGGUGUACACACUUUGCGCAGGUAAAUAUGUGAA